UAUAUUUGAAAAAGUUUAAAGAGCUGGAAAACUUAACAAAAUCCUAGAAAUAAAAUAAUGUUUGAAUAUCAAAUGCUACAAAACCAGCUUCGAAUACACGAGAAGAAUAGUAAAAGUUGAAAAGUCCAGCACACUAGCAAUGAUGAGGUUAAAACUAAAAAUCAUCAAACAAAUUUAUUAUCGGCCUUUGGUAGGGUUGUACGGUACCGGCAUCCGGCUGACGGCGACGGGAGCUGGGAUGCUGGAGGUGCCGGGGGUUGACAGAGAGAAAAAGAGGUCGCAUACGGCGCUUCGUCAACGAACCAAAGAUCAAAUCUGGCCAUUUCUCACACACACGCAGAGGCAA